UACCUACAGUGGCUAACUUUGUCUCCUCUCGAUCGUCGAUCAGAAGUCAAAUUAAGGAAGAGAUUGACUGCCAAAAAAGAAAACAAGUAAAAAGUUGCUCCCUUGAAGAUAAAAAGUUUGUUAUAAUGGUUUGGUGCAUUGUCUCCAGCUUUAGCCAAAUUAAAUUGUCAUCUCGCCUGUAGGCUAUAACUGGAAUGGGAGGAUAGAACACGGCUGCGACUGAUCAGGACUAUAGCAGCUGAUGGAGUAGCAGAAAGGAUGGACAUUUGGGUCAAGUCGAAGCUCAGAUGCUUAGCUCUCAGCACUGCUGUCUGUCAGGGUUCAGAAGACGCUGGAAGAUGUUCGGCGGUUGUGUUCAUGCUUUCCGCAGCUCACUUGCUUCCGUGAUCACGAGAACCUAAACAAGCACACGGCGUAAUGGAGCUCCUGAUGCUUCUCAUACCAAACUUGCAUGCUUCCUUGCUGUUGGUGUAAAUUUGAGGAGUAUACUAUAUAUGGGUUUGUUCAGCUGCCUGUUUUACGGCUGCGGCACAGACGGCACCAACAAUGCCACACGCACGCGGCGGCGCAGCCGCAGCCGCAGCCAGCUUGCUGAACAGGCCCAAAUAUAUUCCAAGCUCUCGGUUUCCUUGUUGGUGGCUUAGGUUGGUUUAUAUUACAUAUGGGUAGCACAAUUAUUGCACGCUGUUCUUAUGCAUAGUAAUAAAAAAAAGCUGGAAUGUAACAAAUGAGCGAGAACAAAUGGACAUAUCGGCUAAUUUGUUCAGUACUUCUUUUUAGAAAAAUAAAAUUGUUCAAGAGAAAAGGUUCAUUUUUACUACCAUAUCAGGGUAAAAGUUGUUGGUCAAAUUAAUUUCACUUAACUUGCUUUAUUAGUUUUUUUCCCAUUUCAACGUCUCUCUUGUUAUUUUCUCCGUCGUGUAAACUCAACAGGAGAAACAUAACAGUCAAAAUACAGCUAAAGAUAGAACAAACCAUCAGAUCAGUCCAAUGAUCCAAUCAUCCCCAAGCAGAGCUAGAGUCUUCAUCAUCUCUAGAGGGAGCCAUACUCCGCUAGAAUCAGACAGCGAACUACAGAUUCUACGUAACUAGCAGUGCUCUGCGUGUGAUGCACGAGCAGGUAAGCUGAGCUGAAACACCCAGGAAGCAGUAGACGUUGCACAAGCUGUGCUGUCUGUUGAAGCGCGGCGCUCCAAGCAGAGCAACGCCAAGCAGCAUGGCAUCCGAUCGAGGGCAACUGAAUUUCCGACGUCUUCCAUGCCCAGGAGUACUGUAGGAUAAAGUCAUGCUGAUCAUUAUUUCUGCCCCCCCCCCCCUCCCCCAGAAAAAAAAAACCCAAGCGGUUUGUGCUUGCGCCAACAUCGAUCACGAUUUCAUAUCGCACAGCAAUUGGCUCGAGAAUUGUCGUCGUUUUUGUUACAUGCCAAUGUCUCAAUCUCUUGCAUGGUUGGGGGUACUAACUAUAUGUAGCUCAGCUAUAUAUUCACUUGUGGAUCUGUCCCACAUAACACAAUAAUUAGUCAGUUAUUACUCGUACAUUUAACCUGCCUAGCUCCACAGCUAAUGGAAACGUACAAAGAAAAUAAGACAUCAUUGGCAGUACAGAUUAGAAAUUUAGAAUAGCAAAAGAUUGCUCUGAGCCAAGUUGGCAUAUCAGCAUUCAGCUCUUGGCAAUAACUAGACUGAUAUCACUAUAUAGUUAGUUCUGUUGCCUUUUUGUUUCAACGUAUCUCCAGUACACUUCAAAAGCAUAUAUACUAGUCGUUUAUCUGUUCUUCCCAACCAGGUUAGAAAAGUACGGACCACCACCCUAAGAAACCAGAAAAAAAAAAAAAGGCCCAUGAAGCCGUUUCCUUUAACCUACUUAGCCCAGGCCCACUCGGGCGGCCCCACGGACAACGUGUUCGUUCGUUUAUACCCAUCUCCCUCGCCCCUUCCGCGCCGCCAUCCUUGCCGCCGGCCACCGGUGAGAGCCACGGCCUUUGCUUGCUGCUCGAUUCGGUUUAAUUUGCUGCUGCGUGGUGCUGUGCUCGUACGUAGUAGUAGUAGUGACAGGUUACAGUCCCGAGGCGUCCAAACUCCAGACGUCCAGACCUAGAAAUCCAUCCCCAUCUCCUUCUCCGGCCGGGCACUGGGGAGCUACGCCGUGCCCCUUCCAACCGAGCGCCCCAGCAGGCCGGACGCUCCCUGGAUUUACCGCAAAGCAGAUCGAAUCGGUUUGUUGCUGCUACGUGCUGGUACUCUUUCUUCCCCACAAUCUAAUCUUGCUAGCUAGUACCAUACCCAAAUCGCGGAGAUUGUCUGUUCUUUCUUUUUUUUUUCCCUCUCGUUCUUUGUCACGCCCCGAACUAGUACCGACCGGAACUAGCCCGUGACGCUCUAA